rnacentral:tRNA from 1 species
GUGUCAGUGGUGGAGUGGCAACACGGAGGACUUAAGAUCCUUUGCCGAAGGGUAUCGCAGGUUCGAAUCCUGCCUGACACA